UCCGUCACGAGUGCUGGGAGGUCGGCUUGUUCUUUGCUCUGACAGUUGUUUCCCUAAUAGUGUAUCCUAGGCCUGAACUCCUCUGAGCAGGAUCGUAAUUGGAGACAGAAAUUACUUCAAGCUUAUCUGAGCCCAGCCUGACAAACAACAUCUGCUAAUUGGUAUAACGCCAUGUGGCUGUCAAAAGGGUGAAAGGAAUUGAUGAAGGAUGCCAGUUGAUUCAGGCCAAGGAAAUGUGACCAUCACUGUCUAAGGCCAUUGUGUUCUUCUGAAUCCUUUCCUAAGAAGAGGGCAGGGGAUGGAGCUCAGCAAGAUGUAGCCUCAGCUGGAGUCUACCUCAGCUUGUUCUGGGGAGCCCUGGAGCAGGAAUGAUGUCUCAGGGUUGUCCCAAUUUGAGGCAAGGCUUAAUAACUCUGCUUCAGCCCUGUGUGGGCUAAUCUUCCAGGCAUCUCUGGCUCUUGAAGGCUCCACUGACCAUGGACAACCCUCCCAGAGAAGGGGUUAGCUGUGAGCAGUUAAUGACCAAGAUCAGAAGCAGUUGGGGGACUGGAUGCACCAGCUGGCAAAAAAGAACUGGGGAAGGCAGCUACUAUUCUGUGGAGGUGAGAAUGGCCAUGGUGCACUGGGACCCAGUGAGGAGAGCAGGCAUGUUUGAGGAGAUGAGGUACAGUAAGGAGUAGUGAGUAAGAUUGGUUUAAGUUCUAGAGCUGAGAGAAAUGGAGAGGGAUUAAUGAGCAAUACUAAGGACGCUGUUGGAAUGGUGACCGUGAAUUUACCAUGAUAUGAUUAUGUGUGAUUUCAUGGAGAAAGCCAAUACUUGGGUUCAUCUAAAGAUGUAUUUUGCCAGAGAGAGGUACAAGAGAGUUGAGGGUGUUGGCAAAAUGGGAUCGGGAGGGAAGUGAAGACAGUCAGAAGAGAUCUAAUGGAUAGACAGGUGAGAAAAGUAUCAAAGAUCCCAAAAUAGUCAGAGUAGUGCUCGUGGGAGUCACUGAGCAAGUAAGAUGGAAGGAAAGGAGGAUGUCUCCACCAGCCUUUUUGGAAAUGGAGCAGAUGCCAGUGAUAGAGGAGUCCCAGAUGGGACUAUGGGAGUGGAUCCCGAAGAGAGCUCGAGGAGACCUCUGCAGAGAGUACUCAGACCUACAUUGGGUCAUCUGUGUCCCCGUGCGAGUCACCUAAGAUAGUGGCAUGGCAGAGGCAGGAGAAAGGCUAGGAUCCAGGAGCUGGGGUCUGCUCUUGAUGAACAGAAGAGACCAAGAGGUCAGAGAUGGCAGAGAAUGAGAAAGGUGAUUUCAGUGGGAAGAGUCCCCCAAAAGUAGAACUUCUUUUUUCUUGUUAAUUUUAAUAUAAAAUUUUGCUUGGGUAUUUUUAAUUGGACAGUAGGUAAAUGAUUACAUUCCUUUUUUAAAAAUUUAUAAAUUAUAAAUAAGGCCAAAGUUUCUUACCACCCCAGCCACAGCCCCAAUCCUUUUGCCCUGUCCCCAUAGGCAGCUAGCUGUCUCCCCCGAAACGUUUUCCAUAUGCAAGCACGCCUCCUUACACGCACGGAAUAAUAUAUAGUAUUACUUUUAGUGUAUGGGUGUGUGCUUCAGAAUAAAUGGUUUCAUACUCUAUAUACUUACUGUCUUAUAAUUUACAUUUCUCCCUCAGCACCAUGUCUUAGAGAUCUAAGAUACCAUGUUUUAGAAAAUGAGCAGACUUAUUGUUUUAUUUUGCUACAUAGUAUUCUAUAAUGUGAAUUUACUAAAUUUAUUGAGCUUUUCUCACGUCAGUGGAUUCUUAGGUGAUUUCUAGUCUGGGCUAUUACCAGCGAUGUUGCUGUGUACAUUCCUGUACAAUUUUUUUUGUACACAUGAUAAAUGUUACAAAGUGCAUCCAAAAC